rnacentral:rRNA from 1 species
AUGCAAGUCGAGCGGCAGCGCGGGGCAACCUGGCGGCGAGCGGCGAACGGGUGAGUAACACAUCGGAACAUGUCCAGUCGUGGGGGAUAGCCCGCCGAAAGGCGGAUUAAUACCGCAUACGCCCGAGAGGGGAAAGCGGGGGACCGUAAGGCCUCGCGCGAUUGGGUUGGCCGAUGUCCGAUUAGCUUGUUGGUGAGGUAAAAGCUCACCAAGGCGAUGAUCGGUAGCUGGUCUGAGAGGAUGAUCAGCCACACUGGGACUGAGACACGGCCCAGACUCCUACGGGAGGCAGCAGUGGGGAAUUUUGGACAAUGGGGGCAACCCUGAUCCAGCCAUUCCGCGUGAGUGAAGAAGGCCUUCGGGUUGUAAAGCUCUUUUGUCCGGAACGAAACGGUGCAGGUGAAUAUCCUGCGCUACUGACGGUACCGGAAGAAUAAGCACCGGCUAACUACGUGCCAGCAGCCGCGGUAAUACGUAGGGUGCAAGCGUUAAUCGGAAUUACUGGGCGUAAAGCGUGCGCAGGCGGUUUUGUAAGCCAGAUGUGAAAUCCCCGGGCUUAACCUGGGAAUGGCAUUUGGGACUGCAAGGCUUGAGUACGGCAGAGGGGACUAGAAUUCCUGGUGUAGCAGUGAAAUGCGUAGAUAUCAGGAGGAAUACCGAUGGCGAAGGCAGGUCCCUGGGCUGAUACUGACGCUCAUGCACGAAAGCGUGGGGAGCAAACAGGAUUAGAUACCCUGGUAGUCCACGCCCUAAACGAUGUCGACUGGUUGUUGGGGGUUUGACACUCUCA